rnacentral:rRNA from 1 species
GGGUUCAUCCGUUGGUCGGGCUUUUUUGGUCUGUACUGGCGUGAUGGAUUCCUACCUUCUGAAUAACCAGCAUGUCAUUAAUUUGGUGUUGCGGGGAAUUUGGACUGUUACUUUGAAAAAAUUAGAGUGUUUAAAGCAAGCUAACGCUUGAAUACAUUAGCAUGGAAUAAUGAAAUAGGACGUUCGAUCCUAUUUUGUUGGUUUCUAGGAUUGACGUA